AGUAUAAUUAUUUUCGAACUCUUCCACUCACUGAGCUAUAAAUCCAUAUUUUUUCAUGAUUUUUCUUAUAGGUAGUAUUGGUCUCUAAUACUUUGAGAAGCCUGGUGUUUUAGAAUUAGAGCCACGCGACAUAUUGAGUGAUACAAUUCAUUUUGGUAAAACAUGAAGUAAUCGUUUCGGACCCAUUGUAUUAUAUUUUUCAUAAAUAUUUGAUUUCGGCGCAUAUUUUGUAGUAAGUCAUAGCCAGCCUUGGUGAUGGAUCUGACACAAGUCAGCACCUAUUAUCGGUGCACGUCACGUUCCUAAUCUAUUAGGGUGAUUCGGGACGGGGCGUGUUACCUUAUGACUAUCAAUUAAGCAAUUUUUAUCAAUUUAGAAGGAGAUUGACAUAGUAGUAAAAUUUCAAUUUAAAAUUGAAGUAAUCCAAUUGAAACUAAAUUGCGGUAAGUGAUCAUACUAAGCCAAAUUAAGUUUAAUGACCCAAUUGUGAUUUCACUAAAAGUGACCACAAGUGAAAUUUGAGAAAUGAUAUUCAUAAUCGUUAACUACAUUAGUCGCCCUACAUUCCUAUAUGACAGUUUGUGAUUUCAUAUAUUAAUGUGGGAGUUUUUUCUUGUCUCGUAUAUCAAAUCACUAACCACCACAUAUAAGCGACGUAGGAUGACUGCAACAAUGAGUGACUGCAAAUAGCAUUACCCUCAUUCAGUAGAAAAACUUAUAUAUCUACAAGAAUUAAAGAAAAUUGUUAUCCUCUCUUGCUUGGCUCCUUCCAUCACCAAUAAUAAACCUCUAAAGGGUAUAGUACUUUUCCACAUCAUUGUGCUUGUAUUUCUCCUUUUCUAUUUUUCUCAGGCUCACAUUUCUGCUUUUGUCAAUUUCAUUUCACUACUAAAAACACAUGGUUUUAGGCACGGAUUUUUUGUUCCCGAAAUCUCGAUAUUCAUUUCUAUUACUCUUUAUCAACGGAAUAUUUGCAACCGCAAAUCCAUUGCUAAUUUGAGGGUCGCUGAUAGUUAUCAACGGAUCCUAUCGUAGGUAAAAAGUAAACAUUUUACCAAAAAAAAUUUCAUUGAUAAAGUGUGAAUUUUUUACCAACAAAAUUUUCAUUGGUAAAAAUUUUAAUCAAUACCAACCUACUUUUCGUUGAUAAAUGUCUACCCUUACAAUUAGUAAAAAUCAAUAUUGUAAUUAGCCGUAUAGGUGUGAGGCAUGGAAAAAAAAAUUUAUCUAUUUUUUAUUAUUGUUAUUAUUAUUUAUUUAAUAAUUCUAAUUUUUUAACUUUUAGCUAACCAAAUUGGAAGGCCAAAAUAUUGUUUAACCACUUAUUGGACCACAAAUUAAUUUAUAGAGGGCAACUCCGAAGAUUUUGUUGUAAACUUUCGAUGUGGGAUAAGUGAAUUACUUUUACCAACGGAUAAUCCAUUUCUAAUUACCAACGAAAUAUCAGUAGGUGAAAUAUCCAAAUGUUAAAUGAUUACAUGAGGCACAAAAUAUCCAUUAAUAAAGAGAUAUCAUCUUUGAAAAUCCGUUGAUGAUUAUCGUAAUUCAAAGUGAAUUACUUUACCAACGGAUAAUCCGUUUCUAAUUAUCAACGGAUUGCAUCUGUUGAUAAUAUUCGAUACGUCACCUACGAAUAUUCCGUAGGUGAAAUAUCCAAAUGUUAAACGGUUACAUGAGGCAUAGAAUAUUCAUUGGUAAAAAGAUAUCAUCGUUACCAAUGGAAAAUCCGUUGUUGAUUAUCGCAAGUGAAAGUAAAUAACUUUUAUCAACGGAUAAUCUAUUUCUAAUUAUCAACGAAUUGCAUUCGUUGGUAAUUUUUCAUAGGUAAAAAGCUGCUUUUUAGUAGUGUUUCUUUUAUGGGUAUUUUUCUUACGAGAAAUCUGCACCGGCAUUCUCGUAUGGAUAUGAGAUUUCAAUAAUGCAUUUGAGGUAGUAAAUUUUGAUUAAUUUCAUUGUUUCUUUUUGCAUCUUUGGUGAAAUUUUUAAGUAAGAUUGCAAUUUUUUUGCUUCAUGAGGCUGAAAAAUGUGGAAUUUUAUUCAUGUUAUUGACUAGCAAUUCAAUGGUCUUUUGUCAAAAUUUAUUCUUUUUCAAGAAGAAAAGUAGUUCACGAAAUUCAUUUUCCUAUCAUAUUUUGUCUAGUUCCGUGGUUCUUUUGAGUACUGGGAGAAGAAAAUCUUCUCGACAGAUUCCAAAUGCCAUGAAAAGACAUUAAAAGUGGAUAAGUUGGUGGCAGAGAUUUUUUCUUGAGGAUGAUGAGAACUAGCUUGCUUUGAAGGAUAAGGAUAUGUUUGAGGGUGUGGAAUCGGAGGAGGGCUCCAGUGGUGAUGAAUUCUCUGAGAACAAAAAGUUUGAGGAGUGGAAAAGCCAGUUGAGGCGAUCAUAGAGUUAAGGGAAGCACAAGAGAAUGCAAAGAAUAAUGAGAAUAGAAGGUGGGAGGACUGGCUUGUGAAUGGAACUAAUGGUGCAUCAUGGGUUCAAGAAUUCAAUGGCACAGUUGGAGAACCUUUAAAUGAUGUGGGAGAAGAUUUUAGUGAGCUAAUUUCUGGUAGAGGAUUGAUUAAGUCAGUAAGGGAGUUGUUUCAAUGCAGAGAAGAUGACGACAUUCCGUAUGAAGAACAUAUCUUCCGUUAUGCUUCAUUCAAUUCGGCAAGUGACUUCAUGACAAUUUUUUAAAUAUCUAAUUUGCUUUCACGCAUUAAAUUAAAUUCUUAUUUAUGUUAUAAUUUAUCAUUAUCAAUCUCAAUCUUUGAUUCCUUGAUCAUGAAUUAUUAUAGCACGAUAAUUGACUGAUAUCGAAUCAAUUGCUAAACUCAAGUUUGUAAGACCAUCAACUGGAC
rnacentral:lncRNA from 1 species